GCUUAUCUUCACUUGUUUCUUCUUUUCUCUACAUCAGAUAAAAGAUAGUACAAAUUUUAUAUCAACUAUGUACACUUUAAGUGUCAUAUUUGAAGUUUACCUAACUAUGCCUUGAAUACCUGUGUAAGAGGAGCUUUAGCUAAGUAUUCUAACAAUUUGUAAUUAUAUUGACUUUUGUGAAAUUAUUUUCUUUUAUCAAUAUAUACAAGUUUUAUCUACUUGCUGAAUAGUCUUCAUGUGGUAGCCAGGUGACCUGGGAACACCUCAGUAACAUAAAAAUUCAUCUUAUAAAUUAACUUUUAGCAAAGAAAUUAUUUAUAAUCAGGGAUUGUCAAAAAUAAUGUUCUUCAGUCAUAUGUUUUGAAUAAUACAGAUGAAAAUAUAAUCAAUGCCUUAUCUUUCUCCAUAUAUGGAUAAAACACAUUUUAUUGAUUUUACUGUUGUAGAACAUUCUUUUUUUAGAUAAUUUAUAUAGAAGUACAAUGAAUGCAAACAUAUAAUUUAUUUUUAUUUCACACUUCAAUAUAUUUUAGCUCUCUUGAUCAGAAAAUGAGAAUUUUAAAUAAACAUUCUUUUACAAAGUUGGGUCCAGGAAAUACAUGGUCACAUUCUGUACAGUCAGCCUUCUGUAUCCAUGGGUUCCACAUCUAUUGAUUCAAUCAACUGUAAUGAAAAUAUUUUUAAAAACCAAAACAAUAAAAAUAAUAAAACAACAAAAAUACAAAUUUUAAAAUACAGCAUAACAACAAUUUAUACAGCAUUUAUAUUGUAUUAGGUAUUAUAAGUAAUCCAGAGGUAAUUUAAAGAGUAUGAGAGGAUGUACAUAAGUUAUACAAAUUACCACACCUUUUAUACAAGGGACGGGAUUAUCAUUGGAUUUUGGUAUUCAUGGGGGUCCUGAAACCCACCCCCCACAAAUACCAAAAGAUGACUGUAUAUACUGAGUGUGGGUAUAUGUAUACACACAUAUUUUAUGCACACAUAUAUUUCCAUUUUUGUAUAUAUAUGUACACAUAUAUAUUUGUUAUGUAAUGAU
rnacentral:lncRNA from 10 species